UGUAUUUUGAUUGGCAUUUUGAAAUUAAAUCAAAAUGCAAGACAUUAAAUAGUUCAUUUGUUUAACAUCCGAUGAUAAACUAUAUCCAACGAUAUAAACCGUCACAAGGGUGGGUAAUGCAUCAUCCAAGAUGUACCUGCCUUUACUACGACAUCCCUAGAACUACAACAUAUCAAUGUAUACUAGUAGUCAUGUUUCUCGUACAUUUCAUGAUGUUUUGAGGAACCCUAAGUCAUUGAGAACCUAAUUUAUACUGUCUUUAUAAUUUUCAUCAAAAAAUUAGGUUCUAGGGACCAUGAGGGGUUUCUAGGGUCUCUUGGGUCCUUGCUUUACUACUCAAUCCUAGCAGAAGCACCCCAAAAGAAUAUUGGGCAUGGUAUAAGGUAGUAACCUUAAACAGUCUAAGUAGCAC
rnacentral:lncRNA from 1 species